rnacentral:tRNA from 2 species
AGGAUGAUAGUUAAAUAAUAACAUUUGAUUUGCAUUCAAAAAUAGCUAAAUAUUGGCUCAUCUU